rnacentral:tRNA from 2 species
CUAAUCUUAGUUUAAGUUAAGAAUGAUGGUUUUGGGGACCUUUGGUCUCAGUGAGAGAUUUGA